rnacentral:rRNA from 1 species
CAGUAGCCACGGGAAUGCGUAGGGUGCAAGCGUUAAUCGGAAUUACUGGGCGUAAAGCGUGCGCAGGCGGUUUGUUAAGACAGAUGUGAAAUCCCCGGGCUCAACCUGGGAACUGCAUUUGUGACUGGCAAGCUAGAGUGUGGCAGAGGGGGGUGGAAUUCCGCGUGUAGCAGUGAAAUGCGUAGAUAUGCGGAGGAACACCGAUGGCGAAGGCAGCCCCCUGGGCCAACACUGACGCUCAUGCACGAAAGCGUGGGGAGCAAACAGGAUUAGAUACCCCGGUAGUCCCUGUCUCUUAUAC